ensembl:lncRNA
AUGCUAUAUUGCCUCUUGGUAAUUUUAAUUGGAACUUUAGAGUGUAUAUUUAGCAAUUUAGGGUUACAAAAUGUAAAGAAAAUAAACAAAAACAAUACAAUUGCAUAUGGAUUGAGCGUUAAAGACCACAUCAGUAACCCUGUAUAUAUAAAACAAACUGAUCAACAGUCAAAAAUGCAAAACAAAAACCAUCUGAAAAUCAAAUUUGAACAUGUGAAGGGCACAUUUAGUCCCACAAGUGUGUAACAUAGCUCAAAUUAGUGACAUAAAACAACUGAAUACUCUAUGUAUAAAAAUGUAAAUGAUAUAUUUAUUUGUUUAGAGUACAAAGAUAACCGAAACACAAGCCAAGCAGAUAUUCCAGCUUUUGUCAGUAAAACAUUGCAUGUGAGAUCAAAACAGGCCAACACACAGCAGCUACCCUAUUGCACAUCGUCACAAUGACGAGCAUUAAUAUGCGUUUUACAGAGAAAACACACUUUUUACUUUUUACACACAAAUUACUGCAUGAGACAGUAAUAUAUUACACCCAUAGAAAGAGUUACAUGGAUAAAGAGAACAAAGAAAGCAGAAACAAAGUCAAGAAGGCCAGUUGAGCAGUGCAUUAUAUUAGCAUAAAUCAAUGACAUGAUACACUGAUAUAUAAUGGGCUUUUAUUUGACCACAGUAUUAAAAAUUCGUAUUUACUUUGUAAAAUCGUGUCCGACAUUUGACCUUACAGAGCUCAAACUGUUCUGCUGUCACACUCAAAAUCAAUAACUUCCACAUUCAUUAGUAAGAACCUGCCUGAGGCACUCACAAGGCACACCGCUUUCAAACAGGUACUGUAGUUAAACAUCUGGGAACAGAAAUCAUAUUCCAGUGCAUUUUUAUCUGGAGUAGCAGUGCUUAUAACUCCAUGUUAGAUAACAGCGUUGCUUUAGCUCACAAAUAACAGAAAGACUUCCUGUUGUUAUUAUUCAUGAAAACUUGUAAUAUUCAGUUUACAGAUCAAACAAAAGCAUCUAUAAACCAAUUAAAACUGAAGUAAUCACCUCAGUUUAGUUCUGUAACAUGCAAAGGGUUGAUAGUGUAACAUUAUCCUUUGAGAUCGUUCAAAGUGCAUUGUUACUUUGCAUAAUGAAUCUGUUCUUUCAGUCCUGAGAUUUAAUCCACAUUCUAACCGUAUAGAUCUUGAAUUAUUUCCUUUUUACUAUUAUCCUAUUUCUUCCAUUAUAAACCAGAUCCCUUUCCACUUCUCAAAAGCAAUAAGAAAAUGUGCAUCAUUGAACCAUCACUCAUGUAAACAUAGACCUUCAUAAACACGGUGCAGUUCUCUCUUUAUCAAGGGAGUAAGUCUGAUUGAAUCAGUACUUUAGCAUCACGGUCGCCAUCAGAGUGUCUAGUCUCAACCUGACCCUGAAAAACUAUAUCUAUUUUCUGUAUUUUUUGACAAAUUUUCAUCUUCGCAGAACAUCAUAAUCUCAAAAUUUGUUGUGCACUUUGGUUCUGGUUGAGUUUUUACAUCAGUUGUCAUUUCUACAGCUAACUUACCAGAAAUUAAAUACAUAUACAGAGACACAAGAGCAAAAGGAACCUCUGGAGAAGGUAGUCCUGUUAAAAACACAGUUCACUUCAGCCUGAUGAAGAGACCUCUUAGUACCUCUCUUCAUCGGGACGUCCAACAGCAGACCUUCAAUGCGCCAGGUCAGUGUGACUGGAACUCAGGUCUCGCGACUUCCUUAGACGAUUAUUUCGUUCCUGAUGGAAAUGAAAAGAAGGAGACAAUAAAUGGACCCGGAUAGACCCUGAAGUAAGUCCA